UACAGGGGGUGCAAACGUUGCUCGGAAUCAUUGGGCGUAAAGCGCACGUAGGCGGUUCGUUAUGUCGGAUGUGAAAGCCCUUGGCUUAACCGAGGAAGUGCAUCCGAAACUGGCGAGCUAGAGUACUAAAGAGGAUCGCGGAAUUCCCGGUGUAGAGGUGAAAUGCGUAGAGAUCGGGAGGAAUACCAGAGGCGAAAAGCGGCGGCCUGGACAGUUACUGACACUCAACUGCGAAACGUGGGGACAAACAGGG
rnacentral:rRNA from 1 species